GGCCAGACUCCUACGGGAGGCAGCAGUGAGGAAUAUUGGUCAAUGGGAGAGAUCCUGAACCAGCCAAGCCGCGUGAGGGAAGACGGCCCUAUGGGUUGUAAACCUCUUUUGUCGGAGAACAAAACCCGGGACGUGUCCCGGACUGCGUGUAUCCGAAGAAAAAGCAUCGGCUAACUCCGUGCCAGCAGCCGCGGUAAUACGGAGGAUGCGAGCGUUAUCCGGAUUUAUUGGGUUUAAAGGGUGCGUAGGCGGGACCUUAAGUCAGCGGUAAAAUUGCGGUGCUCAACGCCGUAGAGCCGUUGAAACUGGGGUUCUUGAGUGAGCGAGAAGUAUGCGGAAUGCGUGGUGUAGCGGUGAAAUGCAUAGAUAUCACGCAGAACCCCGAUUGCGAAGGCAGCAUACCGGCGCUCAACUGACGCUGAGGCACGAAAGUGCGGGUAUCGAACAGGAUUAGAUACCCCCGUACA
rnacentral:rRNA from 1 species